CCGAAAGCCCGCCAAUCAAAAAGACCUGCGAACUUUUCUCUACAUGCUAUUGGGAGUGAUGCGAUGGUUGGGCCUUGUAGCAUACAGCCUUCCAUUCUCUCCUUGCGAUUAGAUGUGCACGGACCGGAUUCUUGGGGUGACGUGUGCGUUUACUCGUCAAGGAACGAACCCCGGUGCAAGAUGCGCCUAGGAAAAUUGAACAAGAGUGCAUGCCCUUCACCUGUUUGCGGGUGGUGUUGGCAUAUGCAAUCUUUUGUACAACUGAACGACUCUCGGCAACGGAUAUCUCGGCUCUUGCAUCGAUGAAGAACGUAGCGAAAUGCGAUACUUGGUGUGAAUUGCAGAAUCCCGUGAACCAUCGAGUCUUUGAACGCAAGUUGCGCCUGAAGCCAGUAGGUUGAAGGCACGUCUGCCUGGGCGUCACGCAUUGCGUCACCUGCUACCCCGUGCCCAAGCGUGCAUGUCGGGAUGUGGGAUGACGUUGGCCCCCCGUUCGCGCUUGGUUGUCGGCCGGCCUAAAAGAGAGUCCUCGGUGACGGACAUCACGACAAGUGGUGGUUGCAAAAUCGUUGCGUCGUGUUUGUGGAUGCCAUUGUUCGUUGCGGGUUGGCUCGUUGACUCUGAAGGUGCAAGGACUUGGGGCACCUUG
rnacentral:rRNA from 1 species